GAAAGAAAGAGAGAGAUAAGCUAUCAGCGAGAUACCGAUUGAUCGAUGGCGAAGGUUUGGGAGAGCCCUCAACCAACGUAUUGGUGGAUGAGUUUAACUUGUAGGAGAGAUUUAGAACCAUUACAAUCUUUUAAAAGGGAAUCAACUCCGGGAUGGUCAUUCAACAAGGAUGAUGCUCCCCUCAACAAUGGAUUUUCGUAC
rnacentral:lncRNA from 1 species